rnacentral:other from 1 species
UUUACCCUGCCAUGUUCGUGAUUAGAAACUGCUCCUUGGACCGUAAGACAUGAUCAAAACGGAGCCUUGACUACGGCGAUGACCGACAGGCCUUAACUGGAAGCCGCGAGUCGUUGUUUGGGUUCCACCUGUUUCCACAAGUUCAUAGGAACUUUAACCACGGCAUUACGGUGGGGUAUUU